AUGAGGCCAUAUGGGAAACUGUGCUCAUCCUCCCCCUUCCCCAAAACCGGGGGAGGAUUCCUCCUGCCCUUUGUCAGAAAGGGAGCUUCUGGGGCUGGAUCUGGCUGCUCGGGGCUGCAGUGCGCUCCCCCAGCUGGGGGGCACAGAGCGGCCGAGGGGGCUCCGGCUGGUUCUGUGUGCUCCGAGCAUCGCGCACAUGGGCUUGGUGUUGUUUCUCCCCAUGCUGCACGAGCAGAAAACGGCGGUGAGGAGGAAGGGAGGCGAGCCCAGAGGCUGCAUUUCGGGAGCAGGAGGCUCCGAGGACGCACAUGGGAGCAGCUCGGGCCCCUGGGGAACGGUGGGACUCCUUGCCCUGGAAGGUGCCCCAGGGGAGAGGGCUGCACGUGCCUGAACGCUUCCUGCACCCCCAGACCCACUCGGGGACACCGGUGUCCCUCCAAGGGUGGCUGGUGGCCGUCCUGGGUGUUAUCGGGGGGCUGCGGGGACAGGGGGUGGGGGCCAGGGCAAUGCAGUGCCCAGCAGCAUCCCGGGGGGGGGGGGGCGGGGGGGGGGGGGGGGGCGGCCCCGGGCCCCCCCCCCCCCCCCAUAAGGCAGCGGUGGGGUUGGGGGCCGGCUGCUCGCCCUGGCCGCGGGGGCUCCCCGGGGUGUCAGCUUUCCCCUAUCUCUCCCAAAAAUCUCGGCGGUGUGAACUCUGUGAACCCUGGGCCGGGACCAGCUGUGCUGCCCUGGGGGGGGGGGCAGGGGAGAAGCCCCUUUCAGUUGGUAAUGGGCUGCCCAAAGAUGUGCCCCCCCCUCCAGUUCCGCCUGCGGGGUGCGGGUCAGGACGUGGGACCCUGGGGUGCAGGCCGGGACCCCGAAUGGGGGUGAUUUGGGGAGAUUUCCACAAUUUGCAAGACUUUAUGUUUGUUUUUUUUUAAUUAUGCAGUUACAGUGGAGAUUCGCUCCUGUUGUAUGCUCCAAUUUCCUCUAUUUUUGUUAUUAAUUCCUGCUGCUCCUACAAGUCUAACGAUCAUUUCAGCACUUAUUCUUUCAGGAACGACGCCGGUACUGAAUCUUUGCAAAACACUUCCGUGGAGGAGGAAAAAAAAAAAAAAUCCAUUAAUAGCAGUUUGUGACAGAAAAUCGUUUGGGCUCUGCUGUCAUCAUACCGCCUAAUACCUGAAUAAUUAAUGUCCUACUUUUUCCCCCCUCUUCAAAUAUUAAAAUGUUUGAAUCCUUGUCAAAAUUGAACACCCCUCCUUGAAAUUAAUUGCCAGUGAAGAUAAGAAGAGGUACACGGUUUACAAAAUAGAUUUUUUUUGUUGUUGUUGUUUUAAAUGGGAGAAAAAUCCAGGCAGAAGGAUUGCUCCCUGGCAGCUGCUGCCUUCACUGCGUUUCCAACUUUCUGCACGCAGCGAUGGGCGCAGCAGCGCUCGCACACUUGAUGGGUGCUCGUGUGCGCAGCCACUCGCAUGGAGCACACGUGGGCACGUGCAACGUGCUGCUGGGGGGGUCCGUGAUCUCUUUUUUUUUUUUUUUGGGGGGGGGGGGGACGGGGCAGUUCCUGGGGCAGGGCCCCCCCCCUGCUGCUGCCCUAGGGUUGUGGCUGCUGGCUGACCCUGCUGGUGGCUGGGCUCCUUUAGGAGCCUUCUGGAAUAUCUGAACGGCGAGGAAAGGCUUUGGGGGGGGCUUUUUGGGGAGCCCCUCUGCAAUCAGAGGCCAGCUCCAGCCCUGGUGAGCUGGGGGGGUGCGGGGUCGCCCCAUCCAGAGCUGCUGAGCAGGGUCCCCCCCCACACGCUGUCCCCCAGGACCUGUAUUUCUAACGUCCCAAGGGUGCGGCGCUGUCUCUCUUGGUUUAAAACAAAACCAGACAGAGUCUUGAGGGUCAAAAGGGAGGUGGGGGAGGGCUUUUCCCUACCUACCCCCAGACAAAGAUCCCUUUGAAUCUAAUCAAGCAGAAAAGAAACCCCUUUCCUGUGUGUUUUUGUACAAGGGGAGAGGGGUUAGGGCUGCCCUGGAAGGUAAAAGGAAAGGAGAUCCCAUUUUGCCUUCCAACAAUGAGAUCUUUAUAAAUGUUCUCAAAAACCCCUGGCCGUGGAAGGGGAAGGACGCUGCGGCGUUUUCCCAGUGGACAAGGGGAAGGUGGGGGCCGCAGGAGGGGGGCAGGCAGUGGGGGGCUCUGGGGUGCUCGUAGGGCCACGUUUUGUGCCGUGUUUUCCAGGGGAAGGGGACGUUUCCUGCCCCCAUCCUGCUCCACCACCCCGCUGCAGGUCCAGGCACAGCUCCGCUGGUCUGGGUGCUUGGAGGGGGCCGUUCCUGCGGAGGGGCUGAUCCUGCCCCCAUCCGGAUCAGCUGGAGAGCUUGGCCAAGGCUCGGUGGGGAUAAGGUGCAGGCGAGGCUGUGUGGGGAGAUGCUAUGAUGGGGGCUGUGGAAGCCCCCGUGCAAUCCCCAGCACCCCGUGCCCUGGAUUUUGGGUCCAGUGCCGGUGCCCCCGGAGCUGCAGGAUGGUGUUCGGCUGGUUGUGGGGCUGGGUGCUGCCCCCCGUGGGAUGGGACCACGCAGCUGUCCCCCUCCCCAGCCCCUGUGUCCCCCCGUGCUGAGCCCAGCAGGGUGCUGGUGGCAGCGCUGCUCGCUGCGUGCCCUCUCCAUCAGCAGAACAAACCCAGCCCUGACCCCGCUGCAAAAAGCCCCCCGUUGGUGGCGGGGUGGGCACCUACCCCAGGGGGCUCUGCAGCCGUAGCUGUGUCAGCAGCCCUGGCCUCCCUCCACCAGCUCUGCUCUGCGCGGCGGCCAGCCUCAGACGCUGCUUUUUACAUCCUUUUAACUAAUACCACAUGACAGUGAUUUAAGCUAAUCAGCACAACCUCCCGUGUCAAUGCAGGAAUACUCAUAACCCCCGUGUUUACAUUAAGUACAGCAGUGUUUCAGCUAUAAAAGCACUUUCAAACUGACAUUAACUGCAGUGUAACGAUGUUAGAUUGACUGGAGUUGGGUCAAAUGCCUACCAAAAGGCUGCUAGGAAGAAGCUGCUGUUGUAUUUACUGCCAAAGCAUUAGCGCGGCGUUGUCCUCACGAGGCUGCCCCCCCCCGCCCCCCCGGGGCCCACGUAAGCUGUUUUGCCUUCAUGUGCCAACGCUCUGUGUCGCUUUCCUUCCCCAAUUCCCAUGGGCAAAUUCGCUGGGAUGCUGCCCUGGUGUGAGAUGGGGGGGGGGCGCAGCACACCCCUGCCCCGCAGCACCCUUUGGUUUUGGUUGCAAACCAAACCUACACAGCCACAGGGGUGGUUUGCAGGAUCGCUGCCCCACAGCCCUGGGUCUCCUUGCCCACACCUCACUGCCCCCCAGCCAGGUUGUGUAUGGGGGGACCAAGGGGGACACAGCAGCCCCAGGCAGCCGGGGCAGGGCCUGAUCCGAGCACCCUGGGGUGCCCCUGGGUGCCACCCGGUGUCCCUCAGCCUCUCCGAAACACAGCCCUGACCUCCAGGUGCUGUUGGGUGGCCAGGGAAAGGGGGGGGUGAUGCUUUUUCUGGUUAAUCCCAGAUGUUCCUGGGCUGCAGAUGGUGUCGGGGCACAUCCUGCCCCCCCCUUUUACAAGGCUCCAAACACCUGAAUUUAUGAAGCAUUUCAUAACCCUCGCUCACCCUGCGCACAUCCUCGCUGCAGAUGUCCCACGCGGACGGAGCCUGCCCGUGGGCAGAGCCAGCACCUCUCCUCCUGCACCAGGACUGGGGUUUUGGGGGCUGGUUCUGCAGCACCCCCUCGCUGGCUCUGGGACUUUUCCAGUUCCCCAGCCCACUGGCAGGGGCAGGGCUCCUGGUGCCACCUCUGCCCUGCUGGGGGGAGCCCCAAACCCACCCAGCGCUCAGCUCCUGCACUUUUCCUCCCCUGCAUUUGAGUUUCUCAGGGGUGGCUGGCACCCCCUUCCCUCCCCGCUCAGGCCAGCACCGGUGUGUUUAAAAAUAAAAGGUAUUUUCAAAUAAACA
rnacentral:lncRNA from 1 species